rnacentral:rRNA from 1 species
GCAGUCGCCGCGGUAAUACGAAGGGUGCAAGCGUUACUCGGAAUUACUGGGCGUAAAGCGUGCGUAGGUGGUGGUUUAAGUCCGUUGUGAAAGCCCUGGGCUCAACCUGGGAAUUGCAGUGGAUACUGGGUCACUAGAGUGUGGUAGAGGAUAGUGGAAUUUCCGGUGUAGCAGUGAAAUGCGUAGAGAUCGGAAGGAACAUCUGUGGCGAAGGCGACUAUCUGGGCCAACACUGACACUGAGGCACGAAAGCGUGGGGAGCAAACAGGAUUAGAUACCCGAGUAGUCCCUGUCUCUUAUAC